rnacentral:rRNA from 1 species
CCUACGGGAGGCAGCAGUGGGGAAUUUUGGACAAUGGGCGCAAGCCUGAUCCAGCAAUGCCGCGUGCAGGAUGAAGGCCUUCGGGUUGUAAACUGCUUUUGUACGGAACGAAACGGUGAGCUCUAAUACAGUUUGCUAAUGACGGUACCGUAAGAAUAAGCACCGGCUAACUACGUGCCAGCAGCCGCGGUAAUACGUAGGGUGCGAGCGUUAAUCGGAAUUACUGGGCGUAAAGCGUGCGCAGGCGGUGAUGUAAGACAGAUGUGAAAUCCCCGGGCUCAACCUGGGACCUGCAUUUGUGACUGCAUCGCUAGAGUACGGUAGAGGGGGAUGGAAUUCCGCGUGUAGCAGUGAAAUGCGUAGAUAUGCGGAGGAACACCGAUGGCGAAGGCAAUCCCCUGGACCUGUACUGACGCUCAUGCACGAAAGCGUGGGGAGCAAACAGGAUUAGAUACCCUGGUAGUCCACGCCCUAAACGAUGUCAACUGGUUGUUGGGUCUUCACUGACUCAGUAACGAAGCUAACGCGUGAAGUUGACCGCCUGGGGNGACGGCCGCGAGUAGAACGUACGAAGAAGUAGACGGCGUGAGACGNGCCGACGGACGACGACGAGGGGAGGAGG